GACGAACGCUGGCGGCGUGCCUAAUACAUGCAAGUAGAACGCACAGUUUAUACCGUAGCUUGCUACACCAUAGACUGUGAGUUGCGAACGGGUGAGUAACGCGUAGGUAACCUGCCUGGUAGCGGGGGAUAACUAUUGGAAACGAUAGCUAAUACCGCAUAAUAUUGAUUAUUGCAUGAUAAUUAAUUGAAAGGUGCAAUUGCACCACUACCAGAUGGACCUGCGUUGUAUUAGCUAGUAGGUGAGGUAACGGCUCACCUAGGCGACGAUACAUAGCCGACCUGGGAGGGUGAUCGGCCACACUGGGACUGAGACACGGCCCAGACUCCUACGGGAGGGAGCAGGAGGGAAUCUUCGGCAAUGGACGAAAGUCUGAACGAGCAACGCCGCGUGAGUGAAGAAGGUUUUCGGAUCGUAAAGCUCUGUUGUAAGGGAAGAACGGGUGUGGGAGUGGAAAGUUCACACUGUGACGGUAUCUUACCAGAAAGGGACGGCUAACUACGUG
rnacentral:rRNA from 1 species